rnacentral:rRNA from 1 species
UCCAGACUCCUACGGGAGGCAGCAGUGGGGAAUAUUGCACAAUGGGGGAAACCCUGAUGCAGCGACGCCGCGUGAGUGAAGAAGUAAUUCGUUAUGUAAAGCUCUAUCAGCAGGGAAGAAAAUGACGGUACCUGAGUAAGAAGCCCCGGCUAACUACGUGCCAGCAGCCGCGGUAAUACGUAUGGUGCAAGCGUUAUCCGGAUUUACUGGGUGUAAAGGGAGCGUAGGCGGCGCGUUAAGUCUGAUGUGAAAACCCGAGGCUCAACCACGGGAGUGCAUUGGAAACUGGCGGGCUGGAGUGCCGGAGAGGUAAGCGGAAUUCCUAGUGUAGCGGUGAAAUGCGUAGAUAUUAGGAGGAACACCAGUGGCGAAGGCGGCUUACUGGACGGCAACUGACGCUGAGGCUCGAAAGCGUGGGGAGCAAACAGGAUUAGAUACCCCCGUAC